rnacentral:rRNA from 1 species
UACGGAGGGGACUAGCGUUGUUCGGAAUUACUGGGCGUAAAGCGCACGUAGGCGGAUUUGUUAGUCAGGGGUGAAAUCCCGAGGCUCAACCUCGGAACUGCCUUUGAUACUGCAAAUCUCGAGUCCGGAAGAGGUGAGUGGAAUUCCUAGUGUAGAGGUGAAAUUCGUAGAUAUUAGGAAGAACACCAGUGGCGAAGGCGGCACUCUGGGCCGAUACUGACACUGAGGAGCGAAAGCGUGGGGAGCGAACAGG